rnacentral:lncRNA from 1 species
GCCGGGCUGGCGGGGGCGCUCAGCCUCAGCGUCACCGCGCCGCUGGAGCUCGCCACCGUGCUGGCACAGGUCAACGGAGCGCGGGGACCGUGGGCCGCGGGGCUGCGCGCGUGGCGGGCCGAGGGGCCCCGCGCCCUGUGGAAGGGGAACGCGCUGGCGUGCCUGCGCCUCUUCCCCUGCAGCGCCGUGCAACUCGCCGCCUACCGCAAGUGCAGUUCCGUGGGGCGCAGCCCUGGCCCGGAAAGGGUCGGCCUCGAGGUUGGACGAGCAAGGAGAUGGAAUGGGGCGGAAGGACAUUUGGGGGGAAGGAGUGAAGAGAUCUCCAGAGAGAUGGCUCCUAACCAUUCCCACCGUCCACCAACUUGGCAAAUUUUGCCUUGGCUGGUUUAGGAGAGAGACCCUUUUGAAGGUGUGGGUAUGCGAGUGUGUCUGUGUGACCACAGCCCCGAGAAGAAAGUGUCUGGCAGGGGGAGAGGACCCAAUCCAUUGCCACAAAAAGGCCACAGAUUUCUACACCCCACCCCCACACCUAAAUGAAGCUUGCCUUUAGAGUCCAGGAGAUGCCGCAGCUUCCCCUCCCCGAGCUGCAACCCGUCCCCCCAGCCCACUGACUCACCCCACUCUCGCCGCCCACUGACCUCAGAAUUUGGGCUUUUUCCACCUUCUCUAGCAACAACAGCAGCUUCUUAGGAAACGAUCUAAAGAUGUAAAUGCUGCAUGAGUCUUAAAGCUUUCUCAGAGCUCAGAGAUAUUUGCAUUUGAACUGAAAACAACACCUAAAAGAAUGGAAUGGUAGUGAUGGAGUUUCAGGAAGAGACGUUUCUGUUUGGGGGGAUGGUUCCUGUGUUCCUCAUUCGGUGGGUACGGCGCCAGCUCUGGAGAAUGGCCAUGGCUCUGAACUAGUCAAACAGCCCAGGCUUGACCACCUACCUACUUCAGCCUUGAAGGCUAGCAAAGGAAUUUGCCUUUGGCUCUGGGAGGCCACAGCUGGAAGGUUCACUUGGCAGCUGACAAACUGGAUGUCAUCAUCCUUAUUACUGAGUCCUCUAGACCAGCACUCAUUUCGCCUAUGCCUGAGCGUAGAGUUACCUUGUCUUCCUUUGGGGAGGGAAGGUAGUGAGAUCAGGGGCAUUUCUGUCGAGUCUCUCUUUUCUCCCAGCCCCCGUUGCCCUCAGCAACAUCUGGCCUGCAGCCUGUAAACAGUUCUCCUUUGAGUUUUAAGGACUCACUUUCUCCUCACUCCACUGUAUUCUCCACAAAGUGGUGUGGAAAUCUUCCUUUGGAAUGUGUACCAAGGGGAAGGAGGGAGAACUUCAAAGGCUGGUAUAAGUCUUGUGGCAUUUCUGCUAACCACCUAGUAUAUAUACAUCAUUGGCUUUUUUGGACAGCUUUAUUGAGGUAUCAUUGACAUAUAAAAAUUGUAU